AGAACGAACGCUGGCGGCAGGCCUCAAACAUGCAAGUCUAGGGGGUGUAGCAAUACAUCACCGGCGGACGGGUGCGUAACACGUGGGAAUAUACCUUUCGGUACGGAACAACUGCGGGAAACUGCAGCUAAUACCGUAUACGUCCUAGCGGAGAAAGAUUUAUCGCCGAAGGAUUAGCCCGCGUUCGAUUAGCUAGUUGGUGAGGUAAUGGCUCACCAAGGCGACGAUCGAUAGCUGUUCUGAGAGGAAGAUCAGCCACACUGGGACUGAGACACGGCCCAGACUCCUACGGGAGGCAGCAGUUGGGAAUCUUGGACAAUGGGGGAAACCCUGAUCCAGCCAUGCCGCGUGAGUGAUGAAGGCCUUCGGGUUGUAAAACUCUUUCGACGGGGACGAUAAUGACGGUACCCGUAGAAGAAGCUCCGGCUAACUUCGUGCCAGCAGCCGC
rnacentral:rRNA from 1 species